CUGUUCGCCAUUUAAAGUGGUACGCGAGCUGGGUUUAGAACGUCGUGAGACAGUUCGGUCCCUAUCUGCCGUGGGCGCUGGAGAACUGAGGGGGGCUGCUCCUAGUACGAGAGGACCGGAGUGGACGCAUCACUGGUGUUCGGGUUGUCAUGCCAAUGGCACUGCCCGGUAGCUAAAUGCGGAAGAGAUAAGUGCUGAAAGCAUCUAAGCACGAAACUUGCCCCGAGAUGAGUUCUCCCUGACUCCUUGAGAGUCCUGAAGGAACGUUGAAGACGACGACGUUGAUAGGCCGGGUGUGUAAGCGCAGCGAUGCGUUGAGCUAACCGGUACUAAUGAACCGUGAGGCUUAACCUUACAACGCCGAAG
rnacentral:rRNA from 1 species